UCAUCACGGAUGCUCUGCAUAUGCGCAGAAGGUUCUGCGCAUGUGCAGAAGUGCCAAGCGCGUGCUCACAAUUCCGAACUGGUAGUGAAGCCCUAGGAAGGAGGCAAUGGCAAACCACUUCUAAAAAACUUUGCCAAGAAAACCACAGGAACUUAUCCAGAAAGUCUCUGAGAAUCGGACACAAUUGAACAGAAUUGGGUAUUAAGCCAGAAUCAUGGUUUAUUGAAGAAAUGCAGCAUUUCCAGAAAUUUUGAAACAACAACAACAAAAAAAAUAAGUUUACUAUUUUCUUAGAUGAUAAGGGAAAAACUUAGCUAUAUGCAAUAUUAUUUUAGUAUUUUUAUCUUUAUCAAUAAACAAAUGCUGCUGCCAA